GUAAGAAGUUACUUCGGUACAUCGGUGACAGGUGGUGCAUGGUUGUCGUCAGCUCGUGUCGUGAGAUGUUGGGUUAAGUCCCGCAACGAGCGCAACCCCUAUUGUUAGUUGCCAUCAUUCAGUUGGGCACUCUAGCGAGACUGCCGGUAAUAAACCGGAGGAAGGUGGGAUGACGUCAAAUCAUCAUGCCCCUUAUGACCUGGGCUACACACGUGCUACAAUGGCUGGUACAACGAGUUGCGAGUCGGUGACGGCGAGCUAAUCUCUUAAAGCCAAUCUCAGUUCGGAUUGUAGGCUGCAACUCGCCUACAUGAAGUCGGAAUCGCUAGUAAUCGCGGAUCAGCACGCCGCGGUCGAAUACGUUCCGGGCCUU
rnacentral:rRNA from 1 species